rnacentral:lncRNA from 1 species
AGCUAUUAACGCAUUAGCCUUGUCCAAGCUAAGGGAGGUAUUGGUAGUAGUACGCAUAGCUAAAGCAACGUCAGCUGCCAUCCCUUUUAUUCCAAAUCCUGACAAAAAGAAGGAUUUAAGUUUGUUAUCAGUAUUUAUUAUAUGUAUCUUGAAAACAUACACGAAAAGAGAUAUAUACCGUGUGUUUUCACUAUCCACCCAUGUAAGGAAGAAAUAGACUUCCAAGUUCUAUCUUCCUUAGAAGUACCAAUGAGGUAUUAUCUUCUUCCUCAUUCUCAGUAUCCACUACCACAGCUUUUCUCUUAGCUAUUAACGCAUUAGCCUUGUCCAAGCUAAGGGAGGUAUUGGUAGUAGUACGCAUAGCUAAAGCAACGUCAGCUGCCAUCCCUUUUAUUCCAAAUCCUGACAAAAAGAAGGAUUUAAUUUUGUUAUAAGGGUUUAUUAUAUGUAUCCAAAAAACAUAUACAAAAAGAGAUAUAUACAGUGUAUUUUCACUAUCCACCCAUGUAAGGAAGAAAUAGACUUCCAAGUUCUAUCUUCUUUAGGAGCAACCUUCAAAAUCGAAUCUACCCAACCACGGAAGUUGGGAAUAGGCUCCACAUCUCCCAUGGUUGCUACAAAAAACCAAAAAGGGUUAAAAUUAGAGAGAAAAUCAAAACCUCAGAAAAUAGGUACGGGGAAGUAAGCAGAAACUUACGUGCGAAGUUCCACUUCUCAAGGAAGGGAAUGUUUGAUUCACGUAGCAAAUCCAUAUGAACAACAAUAUAACGAAGAUACCACCCACGGUCUUUAUCAUCAUCGGCGUUUACUAAAACUUUCUUACUUCUUGCAGUUAAGGUAAAAUCUCUAUGGCGCAGUAGGCUGGGAUGGUAUAAAUGGAUGAGAUGGGAAAAUGUAUAAUUGAAUUUCAAUUUAGUAGACAAAAAUCUCAAACAAGCUACAACCCUCCAUACUAAAGGGCCAACUUGAGCCAAGCAAAUGUUGAAAAAUCGACGGAAAUUAAAGAUAACUGGAUCUAUGGCAGGUUUGAAUCCUAAAAUGAAGGGGUAGGUGUAAACAAAAGAAAAUCCCUGUAUAUAGGAUGAAAUUCUCUGACUUAUGGAAGGAACUGAUAAACGAACACCCUCUUUCAAAUUGCAGUCUUUUCUAAUAAUAGGGACUGUGAGUUCAUUAUAAGAGAGGGGUAACGGUCAGCCUUUUCCAAUUUCGCAAUUUUCUUUUGAAGAGAUGUUCUAUCACUCGCAAAAGACAAAUCAUUCGGUAUAAUUUUUUCAACUGUGGGUUCUAGAUAAGGGUCUGAAACUUCUUUACCUUACAAAGAGGGAGUUUUUGAAGAGGAACCUUUAACACUAGAACUUAAAGAAGAAGGAGCAGAACCAGUUAAACCUCCACGUGUAGAUCGCAAACUUCAAAGUCUUCCUCCUCUGCCUCUUGUAUGUUUGAUUGGAGCAGAUACAUUAGGAAAUUGAUCGAAACGUAGAAUAUUUUUGGGGUUAGGGUUUGGAGAUGCCAUUGGUAGAUAAGCUUGAAGUGAAGAGGAGUAAAAGAAGGAAAAGGUAUGAUUGAUGAAAAUCGAUGAAGAAGAUGACAAAGGAAGUGUGAAUUAAAAUGUUAUAUGGAAAUAACCAUCAAAAUUAAAAGCUGCAAUGAUGGAAACCAUAUAUUAAAGAUAACUAUCACUUCGUAAAUAGAGAAAGUUGAACAAGCCUAGAAAAGUGGGUAAAAAAUUGCAGAUCCAAUAAGAAGAUGACACGUGUAUGGAGCAUUAAAUGAGAAAGACAGAUGGGACGUUAAUACUGUUACACGCAUUAAUUGUGAAAAAAAAUUUCUUUUAUGAAGAUACACUUCCUAGAUAUUUAAUUGAUAAAUAAAUAAGAAGUGGGGGGACUAUCUGUAUUGGGAAAAAACUGAAUUAGAAUUAAAGAUGAUGUGGCAUGACACAUGGACUGGUCAAAUAGUCAAAGCGCAAUAAAACAUUAAAAGGCACGAAAGACAACAUGCAUAAGAGGAGAAAUGAAAAUAGACACGAGAGGUAGUCUCAGAUAUGCGUCUCGUAUCUAUUUUAGUCAUUUAAUACCAACGGAUAAAAAGGGCACUGAAGACAAGAAUAUGAUGACAAAAAGUAGUGUACGUUCAUUAUUAAAUACUUGAUAUGUUAGAUAAUCAGUAUUUAAUAGCAAUGAUUGUGUAACGUCUCAUUAAAUUCUCUUUAUUAUUUAGACUAAGCCGUUACUCCUUGACAGUUCUAUAAAAGGAGGAGGUUUCAUGAUUUGUAAACACACAGAACAUUCUCAACAUCAUAUUGAAAUACUAAAUUCUUAUUGAUUUAUUUUUAUUCUUUGAAAGCCUAUUUAUUUUGGUCUCUAGAUUAUCAGUAACUCGAUUUCUUUUCUCUAAAUUCAAGCUUUGACCAAAUUAUAUUUUAUUACACCUCCUUUUUCACUAUACCCGCAAGGGCGUAAAGGAGUUUUCCAAUUAAAGGACAAUCAGAACAGGAUUUGGUUAUUAAUUAUUCAGAGUUGUCACUUGGGAGAUUUAUGGUGUCUCAAGACACUGAUUUAAAUCCCGAACCGAGGAAGAUUAUGACGCUGUUAGAGUCUGCGAACCAGAAAUCCGAGUAAGGAAUUCUGUUAACUCGGGAGAAGGUGUUAGGCAUUCCCGGUCUCCGUGGUUCUAGCACGGUCGCUUAACUGAUACAUUUGAUUUUAUCUGAUUUUAAUACAUGCUCACGUAUGUGCCUUUAUUUAUAAACCGCUUUCCAUAAUUAUUUAUUUUAAAAGAAUUGCGAGUCAUGAAAACGCGUCUCCGACCACGCCGCCAUCAAGGCACCCGUGGUCGUCAACACAUUUCGACUUCGUCGAGAUUUGGAUUUGGGUCGCAUCAAUGCGCACCCGAGUUUAAGAAGUAACUUGAUUAAAACGCGCUUAAAGGUACUAACGUAAUAUUAUUUUGGGAAAGGCCGUUAAAAUUCCCUAAAUGGACCUUCCAAAUUCUAAUAGUUUUAAAUAACCACUUAUUGAGGGCCCCACAUUUAGUCUUGUUUAGUGAGGCUCGUUUGCAUUUUGAACCCCUUUUUAGAUCAUUAUUUGUUAAUAAGAAUACGACAUCAUGAAAACGCGUUUCUAAUCCCGUCUCCAUCAAGGCACCAAUGGUCGUCAACACAUUUCGACUUCGCCAAGAUUUGGAUUUGAGUUGCAUCAAUGCACACGCGAGUUUAAGUAGGUAUUUUAAUUAAAUGCGUCUAAUGAUUCUAGUGCGUUAUUAUUUCGGGGAAGGCCGUGAAAUUCGCUAAAACGACCCUCCCAUAUUCUAAAUUAAUUCUUAUAAUCAAUCAUCGAGGGCCCCACACUUAUUUUUGUUUGGCGAGGCUCGUCUUAAAUUAUUACUAACAAUUUAUAACUUAAGUAAACCAGACUACGAUAUUUCAUGAUUUGAUUAAAUACUUUCUAACGCUUGAGCGAAUUUGCAAAUCAAUUAUGGAAAAGGUGAAUAUUGGGUAAUAAUGAAUCUACAGGUUGGCCUAACUCCAUAUCAGGAAUUGAAUUCUUAUUUUUAUAAUGUCUAAAAGCUUAGCUGAUAAUAGUAGGCAUCUUACAAAAUAAAUCACCUAACAUGAACGAACAAAAUUAAACUUUGGAUGUAACCCAGAAGCACGUCGAAGCAAACAGUAGUAUACUAUAUCCCGUUAGAAUCCCAAAAUUGCCAUAUAAUAAUAACAUGCUCAAAACACCAAGUAUUUCAUCCAAAUAAUCUGAAUAUUUAGACUAUCAUGCAUAGGAUUACAAACACAAAUUAUUCACCAAAUCUAAUUUAUUUAGACAAGAGAAAUGGAAUGAAGUAACAGUAACCUUCUAACCUCGACAACCAACGGACAGAACCUCGACCAAUGACUUAACCAACGACGAACUCGAACGGACCUUCAACCGGAAGACCUCGAACCAAAACCUCGAUCCACGACCUUCGACGACGGGUAAAGGGUGGUCAGGUGGACUGACUGGCGGCGUUGGCGAGCCGGUUGAGGGCUAGCUGGAGGUUGUUUGGAUGAGAGAAAUGGCGGGUUACUGGACGUGAAGGAGCAGAAGUUUCUGGCCAAAUCCGUGCAAGUAGCGUUGUCAUUCGCCGGUGAUCACUUCCGGCGAAGCAACAGCUCGAGUGAGGAACUGGUGAACGCCGACAUUGGUGGUUGGCGUGAGAGAAGAGAUCUCCGUUUGGUUUCCGGGGUAGUGGGGUGCGACGUGGAUGUAGUAUCAGGGGGGGUGUCUGGUGUUGAGCUGUUGAAGGUUUUAAGAAAGAUAGGUCAUUUGGUGAUGAAGCAGAACAAUGAAGAAGGGGUCCAUUUUUGGUUUAACGGCGCUCUUUUUUUGAGUGUCUGUAUAUCCCAAAAA